GGCCGCCUACGUGCUGCAGUUGUGCUCGCCUUCUUUUAAACGCCCCGCAGAGCUCGCCUGGCGUGAGAGGCUCACUUCAUCUCGUCAAAUCUGCACACUGGGAGGCAAGCUGAUCCCUCUCCUCGCUGUCCGUCGCGGUGGAGAGGCUAGGUUUGUUCAGCUUGCUUUCACUACAUUAGUAUACCCUGCAUUGAUUUUGGGAUACAUGGGCCAAGCUGCGUAUUUAUCACAACACCAUGCUCUCGACUCAACAUACCAAAUUGGGUACUAUAUCUCAGUCCAGAAAGUGUAAGCUGGCAUGUGCUUGUGCGGGCGAUUUUGGCAUCGGUUGUUGGAAGCCAAGCAAUCAGCAGUGGAACAUUCUCCAUCAUCAACCAGAGCCAGUCCUUCAGUUGCUUCCCAAGAGUGAAAGUCGUGCACACAUAUGAAAAUCCAUGGCCAGAUUUACAUCCCUGAGAUCAGCUGGCUGUUCAUGGUCCCUUGCAUUGCUGUGACUGUCGGAUUUCGUGAUACCAAGCAUAUGGGAAAUGCAUCUGGCGAUAAACGAUCUACUUGAUCCUACUGGACAAAAUCUGCGUGUGAGGGAAGAUGCACAGUUACUCAUGGUCUCUAUGGAUGAUGGGGAUGAUUCACCAUAUCAGGUCACCACGAAGAAGAAGCAUCAUUACGUAGGGCACGAAAAUGCUAUCAAAAUUGUCUAUGAGUACAUACGUGAUGACCAUCGUGUUAUUGAGACUUACAUGGAAAAGUUCAGCAACGGGAAGGGGCCAUAAGGAAAUGAUUCACGCUGGUCUUCUCCUGUUGAGAGAAUAAUGAAGAUCUUCAAGGACAAUAUACUGUAGUUGAGGUCUAUAACUGUAUAUCUAGUGAUUUCAAUGAUUUUGGAAUACUGUACCGACCCAAAUAUCAGGUUAUAUAUAUAUAUG